GCGCGCUCGGGUGCGCGCCGCCGGUGAGCACGGGUCUGCGAGCGAGGUCAGUGGCCCCAUGUCUCUCUACCCCCCUUCACCCUCCCCAAGGGGCCCCUCGGCGCUCGGGGACUCCUCCGGGCUCCGCGGGGCGGCUCCUUUGAUCUGGCGGCCACCCCGCCCUCAGUCCCCGCCACUGUCGCCGUCGCGGCCCCAAGCGAAUUCCUGUCCCGGGAAAGUUGCGGCCCCACGAUGUGCGCCCCGCGCGGCCACUGCUGAGGGGGGCGAGAAGGCUGCGGUGCCACAGGAGCGCUCCUCGACAGCGCGGGCGACAGCCACCCAAACUAGCCCGGGCCUCACCGGCAGGGACGCGCGACUGACCGGCGGCGAGCGGUGGGAGACUUUGGAACUUAGGCAAAAGUGUGCGUGCAGCCAGCUUUUAGGACUGUCAGAACCAGGAGACCACACAAGCCACAGUCCCAGAACAGCGGGUGUGCUGUGGUGGGGUAAGCCUGAGUGCAGGGGUCGGAGGAUCUGUCCUGCAGCUGCUGUCGCUGAUCCUUAGGACAGCCCAGCCCUUUCGGCCAGACCUUCGGGUUGGAUCUUCACACAGCAGAAUUGAAUGGUGACGCAUUGCAUUGGGUGACAGCCUGCGUGUGGGGUCCUGUCAAAGGGGUUGAAUAUUGGCAGUUUCUCGCAUGAUCCUAAUUAAGAAGAUGG